rnacentral:sRNA from 1 species
AAUCUGCUGGGGGCAGAUGAAAUGAAUGUGGGCAUCAAUGCCACCGGCGGUAAGAAUCUGGCCCUCACCGGCGAUCACUUCCGUGCCCGGGCCGAUAACGAUGGUCACCCCCUGCUGCACAUCGGGGUUACCGGCCUUGCCGAUACCCACAAUACGGCCGUCUUUCAGCCCCACAUCCGCUUUCACAAUGCCCCAGUAAUCCAGGAUCACCACGUUGGUGAUCACCGUAUCCACGGUUUCACUGCGCGGACGCUGACUCUGCCCCAUGCCGUCCCG